UAUAGAGCACGGUCAGUGUCUCCCUUAGUAGCCUGCAGGUUGUCAACAAGGACGAAGUAGUGCAACACGCUGAGAUUUGGCGUGUCGUAGCCGUAGAGUUUCACACCAAACAAUAAUAAUAAUAACUCAGAAAUAAGUUAUUGACAUUGUCUUCCUUUUUCUGCAUUAAGUAUUAAUAGGAUUGAACUCACUCUCAGGGUCGAAAAAUUUAAAAAAAAAAAAAAAAUAAUUUUUUUCUUAUGAAAUGAUAGAGAAUCUUUUCCUGAUGUUAAUGGCACCAAAAGUAUGAAAUUUGAUUGAAAACUUAGGGAAUUAUGCUCUCACGAACUUAACGGUCUCGACUAUAUUUACGCAUCUGCGAUUUCACCCACUUUGAGUCCUGUUUUUGACCAAUUCCAAUGUUCCAGUCGACUAAAAUCAUAGCUAUUUCACUAGAGCUCCAUUUAUUCUAUCGAAUAAGUACAAGAAACCGCCAUUUACCGAUUUCAACUACCCAAUGAAGUGGUCAAAAAAUGGCAGUUAGGCCAAUUUCACACAAAUUUCAAAAGAUGCCAAUUUCAAAAUAGGGUCCAGAAUAAACAAGACAGACAUUCCUGGCACUAAAAUAACAUUUUCUCUGUUCAUUAGUAACGUCUCUAGGCCCCUCUUAUAUUACUCUUUCUUUCCAUUUUGAAUUUUUAUUCUCAAAAAAUAAAGAUUUACUGUUAUGCAGACUACUGCAUUAUUGUAAAAAUAUUAUAAAUAAUAUCAGCACACUUGUAAAAGAAUAUUAGACUCACAAGUUGAUGUGUAUUGGACGUGUGGCGUGAUUUGUUUAAUCUUGAACAUUGGCAAAAAUCAAAUAUUUCUGCUACUUAGAGCUCAAUAUCAAGAUACUUUUCAUUGUGAAACAAAUCAAAAUCAUCUCUAUUUCUGUAAUUUAUCUUCUAUUCUAUCAAUUGAGACCAAGAAAAUGAGAAUACAAUCAUAAUUACCAUAUGAAAAUAUACUGCAAAUUCACCUUUUUAAACCAAAAACAUGGAGUUUUUCUUUUUUUCUCUCAUUAUGCACUGCAUGCUGCAGGAUUUUUUUAUACUGCUCACACUGACCACACAGACCCAUUCUUUCAUAUGUAGGCCUACCAGCUUCCACUCAAUUUAAAGGUGCUAGAAUUUACGCGUACAAGUGUGGCACCAACCCUGAAAGAGUUAAAGAGGAAUUUAAAAAACUCUGAUUAGAGAUCAGGCUCUUGAUCGUCAUGAUUAGGGAUCAAGCUCUUCAUCAUCAUGAGGAUGCCAUUUUGCAGGAAGAGAACACCAGUGUUCUCUUCUCAUAAAAUGGCAUCCUUGUAUCAUAUCUCUUCGUGUGUUACUAGACAUCCUUCCUUAUGUAGUAUGUAUGGAAGAAUGUUUUUUUUUACCGAAUAAAAAUUUAUAUAGAAGAGCCAAGUUGUUUGACCGAUAUAAAUUUUAUAACAUAAUGCUCCAGUUGAACCAGCUAUAAUUUAUGCAUGCUACAGUACUUAUACUGUACACUGCAUAUAAUUUCCACAUGUGUCACUCUGUUUUCUAAGCAGCAGUAUGUAUACUUGAUACCCUGUUUAAGAACUUAAUAGAAUUGUACAAGUAUUCAUCAGGCUAUGAACUCCAAGGAAGCAAAAAAAAAGUCAUUAUGGAAACAUUAGAUCAGUUUGGCCGCUUUGUACUGGUAAAUUUUUUAUACAUGUAUGACGUGAUUUUUCUUGGUUAUUAAAAUGUGUAGCAUUAUUUUUAAGAAAGACUGGGUAUUUACGGAUUUUUUUUUUAGGAAGUACUCUUUAUAAAUAAACAACAAACUCAGUGAAAUGAUGAAAGAGAUAUACUGUAGUAACAAAGUUACCAACAAAAAUUUGUGUUUUGUUACAGACAUACUGUGACCCUGCACGGCCAAUCCUCAAGUGUCCUCAGUGUCCUAACUCUUCAUUCAGCUGCAAUCAGACCUUCCGGCGCCAUCUUCGUCUCCACACAGGAGAACGGCCCUUCCAGUGUCCACAUUGUUUCUAUGCUGCCUCACGAAAGGAACACCUCGCCUCUCAUCUCUUCCGUCGCCACAAUCCUCCACCUGAUAGUCUCAUUGCAGAAAGUGGCCAAUAGAGAGCAUGUAUUUGGCUAUUAAUAAAUACACAUGGUAACCCACUACAGCUUCGCUUCAAGUGCCCACACUGCCCCAAUGCUACCUUCACCUGUACAAGUAAUUUCCGUCGGCACCUGCGUCUGCAUUCUGGGGAACGUCCCUAUCAUUGUCCUCACUGUCAUUAUGCUGCAACUCGCAAGGAACACCUAACUUCCCAUCUCCUUCGACGUCAUCCACAACCUUUGCACCAUCAAGUUCUUACACAUUCAGACCGUUGACUAGGGCCAGUUGAGUUAUCUUCUGCACCAUUUUUGAAACAUCAAGUGAUUUCUUAGAACAGUAGUAUAUGCAGCAUUAAAAGUUUCAGAGUUUACAAUGUACUGUUCGUAUCACAUUUUUUUCUUUUACUUUUGUCUGUUUUAUAAUGCAGUAUUAUCAAUAGAUCUUUUUUCAUGAAAGACAGAUAUUAAAAAAAAUGAUUUUGCUGGUGAAAUAACUAUCUCUGAAUAUUAUGAACAUACAUGAAGAAAUUACAGUAGUGGUUUUACUAAGAUGUUCAUUGUAUUAAUUUUUUUUUUGCUUUGAAGUUUGAGGUAAGCAUUACUUUACUUGAAUGUGGAUGUCAAAAUCUACUUACAUAUGUUUCAGCAAAAUAGUAGAUUCACAUGAUCAAAUCAUUAGUUACAAGUGCAUAAAUAUAUUUUGCUAUUUUCACUCAAUGAUAGUGUGAUUUGCAAUGGUGAAAAGAUUUCAUCAUGUAAAGAAAGAUAUCUGUCUCCUGUCUUUAAUGAUUUGAUUACAUAUUUUCAUAUUGAAUUGUACCAUAAAAUGUAUGUAACACAGCUUCGAACUAAAAUGUAAAUAAAUGAGAAAUAUUAGACUCAAAAGGUAAUGUACACUUAUUUUAUGCUACACAAUCUAGAGCAUGAGCAAAAUUACUUUAUCUGGCUCAUGGUGCUUUAACUGCUAUGGUUAAAUGUGCCUCAGGUUUGGUGGAAGUUGGAAUAAAUAGUUUAUUGUGAACAUAAAUGAUCCCUGAAAUUGUGUAAAUAAAAUUUUUGUAAAGUAAUAGUGACUUGUACACUGUUGUGUAUUAACCCUCAAGAAACAGUUUUGACUUAAUGAAGCUCUUCUUUAUAAAUUUUCUCCUUUAUUGUAAUACAUGUAUAAUCAUUUAGUUUUUUAAUAUAACACCUGAAAUUCAGUUUGUUGCAUCUCAUUGGAAAAUGUUAAAUCUCUUAUUAUCAAAGUUUUCAUCAGUUGUAUUUUUACCCUUGUCAAGUGUAAGGCAAGUUAAGAGUUUAUAUUUGAUUAAUAUCUUAGAUGGUAUAUAAUAAUGCUCCAGCAAAGGCAAUUUGGUGAGACAGUGAAUUAGUUUUGAUCAAAAAUUUAGACUAACAAAGAGUUCCAGGGUUAAUUAAAGAGUUGGUGUCUACAGCAACUUCGUUUUACUUCUUGUUGAUUCCCUUAGACCAUUGUUCCUGUGGCCCAGUCGCAGACUAGGCUUCCUGGCUAGUGACCUGAUCAGUAAACUACUGGUGUUUGCAGCAUGCAACCCAACAUAGGCACCACAGCUUUAAUGAUCAGGAACUGAUUUAAGUAGCAAUUAACUUUAAUUUCUAUGUGGAUUCACCAGUGAACGUGUAGUAUAAUGCAGUUAAUGUAUAAGCUGACUCAACUAGUAGCUUCAUAUCUUUUAUUAUUAAAAUUUACACACACUA